AGUUUGGCUUAGUGGCAUUAUCAUAAUCAAUGAGAUUUAUUUGAGGGGUGGUUAUUACUAAUUAAAAACUAUGUCCAAUAUACUGCUAUGCUGUUAUCGUACAGCCCAGCAUUUCGUGAAGUUCUCUAUGGACA